rnacentral:lncRNA from 1 species
UAUUUUUGAGACAGGAUCUUAUUCUGUCACCUAGACUGGAGUACAGUGGUGCCAUCAUGGCUCACUGCAGCCUUGACCUCCCAGGCUCAGGUGAUCCUCCCACCUCAGCUUUCCUGGUAGCUGGGACUAUAGGAACUCCCCACCAUGCCCAACUAAUUAUUUUGUAUUUUUUUGUAGAGACAGGGUUUCACCAUGUUGCCCAGGCUGGUCUCGAACUCCUGGGCU